GACGAACGCUGGCGGCGUGCUUAACACAUGCAAGUCGAACGGAAAGGCCCUGCUUUUGUGGGGUGCUCGAGUGGCGAACGGGUGAGUAACCCGUGAGUAACCUGCCCUUGACUUUGGGAUAACUUCAGGAAACUGGGGCUAAUACCGGAUAGGAGCUCCUGCUGCAUGGUGGGGGUUGGAAAGUUUCGGCGGUUGGGGAUGGACUCGCGGCUUAUCAGCUUGUUGGUGGGGUAGUGGCUUACCAAGGCUUUGAAGGGUAGCCGGCCUGAGAGGGUGACCGGCCACAUUGGGACUGAGAUACGGCCCAGACUCCUACGGGAGGCAGCAGUGGGGAAUAUUGCACAAUGGGCGGAAGCCUGGUGCAGCAACGCCACGUGCGGGAUGACGGCCUUCGGGUUGUAAACCGCUUUCGCCUGUGACGAAGCGUGAGUGACGGUAAUGGGUAAAGAAGCACCGGCUAACUACGUG
rnacentral:rRNA from 1 species